ACCAGCUUCUCCUGACUUCUUCCCACUCGUGACUUGAAGUCGCUUCCCCUUGCAGAGCAAUGUCGUCCUACAAACAGCUGUGCAAUUACCCCUGCGUCACGCCGUGCGAGGUGACCUGCCCCCAGCCCGUCGCCGAUGCCUGGAACGAGCCGUGUGUUACGUCGUGCGGUGACUCCAGGGCAGUGAUCUACCCACCCCCUGUUGUCAUCACUUUUCCUGGGCCGAUUCUCAGUUCUUGCCCUCAGGAAAGCAUAGUGGGAUCCUCAGCCCCAGCUGGCAUCGGGAGCUCACUUGGCUACGGGGGAUCUUUCGGCUACAGAGGCUCUCUUGCGUAUGGGGGUUCCCUGGGAACCAAGUUCUCAUACCCUUACUGCUCUCAGAGGUUCAGCUGCUACAGCUCUAGAAGCUACGAGCCAAGCAAGACCCAGCGGGAAUAUACCUACACUAAGAGCAGUCAGGAUACCGAGUGCAAGAUCCAAACUCAAGAGUGAGAUAAGCAAGAUGAGUCUCUAAGUUGCUGGCAUAAAAAAGGCUGAUUCUCUCUAACACUUUAUAUCAUAUUUCUGCUUAUAUCUGCUUAUGUAUUUCUCAUUUCUUAAUCAUAAAUAUAUUCUUCUAUUUUUCUCAUGAUCCACAUUUUCAAACACAUUAACAUUCCUUUUACUUUUAGUCUCAUACUGUAUAAGAAGCAUAACGGAGCAGUUUCUAUACUGCGAUUUCUCUCCCUUGACAUUGCCUGAUGUCAAUUAACAAUUACAUAAAGGGAUGGAAACUGGACUGCGUUCCCGAACUGACAGCUGCAAAAGAAGAAAACUUUGAAAUGAAGCUUCCUGAUACAUGAAAACUUGUUUGACCGUCUGUAAAAGCCUGGAAUUCUUUAUUUUCUGUAUGAUCAUGUUCUACUAUUGUAAACUUUGCUUCUCAAUCUCCUAUUAAAGAUCAUGCUGCAUCGUAACAUUA